GUUAAUCAAAUAGCUCCACACUUCGAGAUCUAGUGAACUAAAUUUACAACAGAAUUCAACUAGUCUACUCACUCCAGAAUCUGCUAUCUAGUGAACGGAAUUUACAACAGAGUUCAACUAGUCCAGAAACCAGAAUCAGAAAAUACUUCGAGAUCUAGCAAAUGGAAUUUACAACAGAGUUCAACUAGUCCAGAAACCAGAAUUUGACUGAACAUAUAUACAUCAGAAUUCAGCCGGACAAACAGA